rnacentral:misc_RNA from 1 species
GAUGAAGAACGUAGCGAAAUGCGAUAAGUAAUGUGAAUUGCAGAAUUCAGUGAAUCAUCGAAUCUUUGAACGCACAUUGCGCCCGCUGGUAUUCCGGCGGGCAUGCCUGUUCGAGCGUCAUUUCAACCCUCAAGCUCUCCGGAGUUUGGUGUUGGGGCGCCUGGGGCUUUUCGACCUCAGGGCCCUCAAGUCCAUCGGCGGGACCGCCAGGACACUGAGCGCAGUAGUAUUAUUUCGCUCGGUAGGAUCUUCCACGGCGGGUCGAUCUGGCCGCUAAACCCCCCAAUGCUCACCAAAGGUUGACCUCGGAUCAGGUAGGAAUACCCGCUGAACUUAAGCAUAUCAAUAAGCGGAGGA